rnacentral:rRNA from 1 species
GAUGAACGCUGGCGGCGUGCCUAAUACAUGCAAGUCGAGCGAACAGACGAGGAGCUUGCUCCUCUGACGUUAGCGGCGGACGGGUGAGUAACACGUGGAUAACCUACCUAUAAGACUGGGAUAACUUCGGGAAACCGGAGCUAAUACCGGAUAAUAUAUUGAACCGCAUGGUUCAAUAGUGAAAGACGGUUUUGCUGUCACUUAUAGAUGGAUCCGCGCCGCAUUAGCUAGUUGGUAAGGUAACGGCUUACCAAGGCAACGAUGCGUAGUCGACCUGAGAGGGUGAUCGGCCACACUGGAACUGAGACACGGUCCAGACUCCGACGGGAGGCAGCAGUAGGGAAUCUUCCGCAAUGGGCGAAAGCCUGACGGAGCAACGCCGCGUGAGUGAUGAAGGUCUUCGGAUCGUAAAACUCUGUUAUUAGGGAAGAACAAAUGUGUAAGUAACUAUGCACGUAUUGACGGUACCUAAUCAGAAAGCCACGGCUAACUACGUG